UGUAAUAGCGCCGGCCUUCGGGGGCGUCACAGUGACGCUACAGUUCCUGGAGUUGUGCUGUUUUCUCCUCGGAGUGGAGCCUGGUAACCGCGACUUCCCCGCCAUGUUCUGUGUGUUGCUGGCUGGAGAAGGGUAGUUGACAAACUCCGACCCGGCACAGUGUUUCUGUGGGUCAAAACUAGAAAACUAUGUCCGGGCUCCGCCGAGGCGGAAGGAUCCCUUCAGGCCAGGAGUUAAAGAGCAGCCUGGGCAACAUGGCGCGACCCCAUCUCUGUAGUCCCAGCUCAGCUUCUCAGAUGCUUGAACCCCAAGGUUCAAGGCUGCAAUGAGCUAUGAUCCCAUCACAGCACUCCAUCCUGCGAGACUGAGAGACGGGGUUUCACCAUGUUGGCCAGGCUGGUCUGGAACUCCUGACCUGAAGUGAUCUGCCCACCUCGGCUUCCCAAAGUGCUGGGAUUGCAGGCGUGAGCCACUGCUCCUGGCCCCUUCAGGUGGGUUUUGAGGCUUCACUACAAUACUAGUUCCCCGUUGCUGCUGCAAUAAAUUACCACACACUUAGUGGCUUAAAACAGCACAGAGGUAUUCCCUUACAUUUCUGAAGGCCAGAAUUCUAAAGUCAGUCCCACUGAGUCAAGGUGGGAGCAGGGUCAGUGCCUUCCCAGGCUCUGCGGGAGAAUCCGUUUCCUGGCCCUGGAGGCGGCCUGUACUCCUUAGCUUGUGCUGCCCUUCUCGAAUGACUCAAGUUUCGUGCUUUCAUCACUACACCUCCCACCGCUCUCCAUCAACCUGCUCUGCUCUUAUAAGGAUCCAGAGAAAUGGAAUAAUCUUAUUGCUGAUCUACAUAAACAAGUUGAAGAAUUGUCUGAAAGAAAAUAUGGUGUGUCUAAACUGGAAAAGUCCUGUGAUAGUUUGUUCAUGAGCAUUUACACAGUGGAGUUACUGUUCAUCAUGGGGGUACCGUGGACAAGCCCAGGGCUGCUGGAAUGUUUUUUAAGAAGGCUGUCUACUUAUGGAAUUCCUGGCCUUGAGAGGAUAUUACUUGCAAAGGAAAGGAUUCGUUUUUUGAUUAAAAAACAUGAACUUAUGAAUUUAAGACGUGAAGAUUUACAACUUGAUAAACCAGCUUCAGGAGGCUACAAUCUACUCGGCUUGCUGCUGCCCGCGCCGCGGACUGCCUGGGACUGCCGGCGCGCGCCACCGCUGCCUGCCUUUUCUCCUUUGGAUGCAGGCACGCGUUCGCCAUCUUGGCCACGCUGGUCGCCAGCUCCUGACGCCGAGUGCUCUGCCCGCCUCAGCCUCCCGAGGUACUGGGACUACAGACGGAAUCUCGCUCACCCAGUGCUCGGUGUUGCCCGGGCUGGAGGGCGGUGGCGUGGUCUGGCCUCGCAGCAGCCUCUACCCCCCGGCCGCCUGCCUUGGCCUGCCAGGGUGCUGGGAUUGCAGCCCCUGCCCGGCCGCCGCCCCAUCUGGAAGGUGGGGAGCGCCUCUGCCCGGCCGCCCCGUCUGGGAGGUGAGGAGCACCUCUGCCCGGCCGCCCCGUCUGGGAAGUGAGGAGCGCCUCUGCCCGGCCACCCACCGUCUGGGAAGUGAGGAGCGCCUCUGCCCGGCCACCCACCGUCUGGGAAGUGAGGAGCCCCUCUGCCCGGCCACCCACCGUCUGGGAAGUGAGGAGCACCUCUGCCCGGCCACCCACCGUCUGGGAAGUGAGGAGCGCCUCUGCCCGGCCGCCCCGUCCGGGAAGAAGUGAGGAGCGCCUCUGCCCGGCCGCCCCGCCCGGGAAGAAGUGAGGAGCGCCUCUGCCCGGCCACCCAUCGUCUGGGAAGUGAGGAGCGCCUCUGCCCGGCCGCCCCGUCCGGGAAGAAGUGAGGAGCGCCUCUGCCCGGCCGCCCCGUCCGGGAAGAAGUGAGGAGCGCCUCUGCCCGGCCGCCCCCGUCCGGGAAGAAGUGAGGAGCGCCUCUGCCCGGCCGCCCCGUCUGGGAAGAAGUGAGGAGCGCCUCUGCCCGGCCGCCCCGUCCGGGAAGAAGUGAGGAGCGCCUCUGCCCGGCCACCCAUCGUCUGGGAAGUGAGGAGCGCCUCUGCCCGGCCACCCACCGUCUGGGAAGUGAGGAGCGCCUCUGCCCGGCCGCCCCGUCUGGGAAGUGAGGAGCGCCUCUGCCCGGCCGCCCCGUCUGGGAAGUGAGGAGCGCCUCUACCCGGCCGCCCCGUCUGGGAAGUGAGCAGCGCCUCUGCCCGGCCGCCCCGUCUGGGAAGUGAGGAGCGCCUCUGCCCGGCCACCCACCGUCUGGGAAGUGAGGAGCGCCUCUGCCCGGCCACCCACCGUCUGGGAAGUGAGGAGCGCCUCUGCCCGGCCACCCACCGUCUGGGAAGUGAGGAGCGCCUCUGCCCGGCCACCCACCGUCUGGGAAGUGAGGAGCCCCUCUGCCCGGCCACCCACCGUCUGGGAAGUGAGGAGCCCCUCUGCCCGGCCACCCACCGUCUGGGAAGUGAGGAGCGCCUCUGCCCGGCCACCCACCGUCUGGGAAGUGAGGAGCGCCUCUGCCCGGCCACCCACCGUCUGGGAAGUGAGGAGCCCCUCUGCCCGGCCACCCACCGUCUGGGAAGUGAGGAGCCCCUCUGCCCGGCCACCCACCGUCUGGGAAGUGAGGAGCGCCUCUGCCCGGCCACCCACCGUCUGGGAAGUGAGGAGUGCCUCCGCCCGGCCGCCCCGUCCGGGAAGAAGUGAGGAGCGCCUCUGCCCGGCAGCCCCGUCCGGGAAGAAGUGAGGAGCGCCUCUGCCCGGCCACCCAUCGUCUGGGAAGUGAGGAGUGCCUCCGCCCGGCCGCCCCGUCCGGGAAGAAGUGAGGAGCGCCUCUGCCCGGCAGCCCCGUCCGGGAAGAAGUGAGGAGCGCCUCUGCCCGGCCGCCCCGCCCGGGAAGAAGUGAGGAGCGCCUCUGCCCGGCCGCCCCGUCCGGGAAGAAGUGAGGAGCGCCUCUGCCCGGCCGCCUCGUCCGGGAAGAAGUGAGGAGCGCCUCUGCCCGGCUGCCCCGUCCGGGAAGAAGUGAGGAGCGCCUCUGCCAGGCCGCCCCAUCCGGGAAGAAGUGAGGAGCGCCUCUGCCCGGUCACCCAUCGUCUGGGAAGUGAGGAGCGCCUCUGCCCGGCCGCCCCGUCUGGGAAGGGAGGAGCGCCUCUGCCCGGCCGCCCCGUCUGGGAAGUGAGGAGCGCCUCUACCCGGCCGCCCCGUCUGGGAAGUGAGCAGCGCCUCUGCCCGGCCGCCCCGUCCGGGAAGAAGUGAGGAGCGCCUCUGCCCGGCCGCCCCGUCCGGGAAGAAGUGAGGAGCGCCUCUGCCCGGCCGCCCCGUCCGGGAAGAAGUGAGGAGCGCCUCUGCCUGGCCGCCCCGUCCGGGAAGAAGUGAGGAGCGCCUCUGCCCGGCCGCCCCGUCUGGGAAGUGAGGAGCGCCUCUGCCCGGCCGCCCCGUCCGGGAAGAAGUGAGGAGCGCCUCUGCCCGGGCGCCCCAUCCGGGAAGAAGUGAGGAGCGCCUCUGCACAGCCACCCAUCGUCUGGGAAGUGAGGAGCGCCUCUGCCCGGCCACCCACCGUCUGGGAAGUGAGGAGCGCCUCUGCCCGGCCGCCCCGUCCGGGAAGAAGUGAGGAGCGCCUCUGCCCGACCGCCCCGUCUGGGAAGAAGUGAGGAGCGCCUCUGCCCGGCCGCCCCGUCCGGGAAGAAGUGAGGAGCGCCUCUGCCCGGCCGCCCCGUCUGGGAGGUGAGGAGUGCCUCUGCCCGGCCACCCAUCGUCUGGGAGGUGAGGAGCGCCUCUGCCAGGCCACCCAUCGUCUGGGAGGUGAGGAGCGCCUCUGCCCGGCCACCCAUCAUCUGGAAAGUGAGGAGCGCCUCUGCCCGGCUGCCCCAUCUGGGAAGUGAGGAGUGCCUCUGCCCGGACACCCAUCGUCUGGGAGAUGAGGAGCGCCUCUGCCCGGCCGCCCAUCGUCUGGGAAGUGAGGAGCGCCUCUGCCCGGCCACCCAUCGUCUGGGAAGUGAGGAGCGCCUCUGCCCGGCCACCCAUCGUCUGGGAAGUGAGGAGCGCCUCUACCCGGCCACCUAUCGUCUGGGAAGAAGUGAGGAGCGUCUCUGCCUGGCCGCCCCAUCUGGGAAGUGAGGUGCCCGGCCGCCCCGUGUCUGGGUAGAAGUGAGGAGCUCCUCUGCCUGGCCGCUCCGUCUGGGAGGUCUACCACGGAGGCCAGAAGCAAUGUGGGGGCUGGACGUGGUGGCUCACGCCUGUGGUCCCGGCACUCUGGGGGGCGAGGCGGGUUGAUCACUUCGGGCUAGGAGUUCGAGACCAGUCUGGCCAACUUGGCGAAACAUGAAGAAUACAACAGACAAACCAACCAACCAACUCAAUGACAACAAAACAGCUCAAGCUGUAAAAGCCAAAGGUCCACCCCUUUUUUCCAGUCUCAUGUUGAAGAUCUUUAUGUAGAAGGCCUUCCAACAGGAAUUUUUUUUUUUUUUUUUGUGAUGGAGGUUUUACUCUUGUCGCCCAGGCUGGAGUGUCAUGGCACCAUCUUGGCUCACUGCAACCUCUGCCUCCCAGAUUCAAGAGAUUCUCCUGCCUCAGCCUCCUGAGUACGUGGGAUUACAGGCAUGUGCCACCAAGCCUGGCUAAUUUUGUAUUUUUAUUAGAAACAGAGUUUCCCUAUGUUGGUCACGUUGGUCUCUAACUCGCGACCUCAGGUGAUCCGCCUGCCUCGGCCUCCCAAAGUUCUGGGAUUACAGACAUAAUCUUAUGAAUUCAACACAUGAAGAUUUACAACUUGAUAAACCAGCUUCAGGAGAUCAGAACUUCUUACAAUACAACUGACAUUUCUCAGCCUAGAACAAAUACAACAGGGAUUAUGCUGCAUUCUGACUUAGGUUCUGCCAUCGAACACAGAAUGCCCUGAUCCUUAGAGGCAGAGGCAGCUCUUCAGCCUAUGAGGGCUUCUGUAAAAUAUUACAGGCAUGCUUUGGAGAUACUACAGGUUUGGUUCCACACCACUGCAGUAAACUUAAGUUCUUGGACUCAUUGAGGCAGUAAAAGAACCAUAUCCUGUGUUUGAAUCAAACCCCGAGUUCCUGUAUGUAGAAGGUUUGCCAGACAGGAUUCCCUUUUGAAGCCCUCCUGGUUUGGAAUUCCAUGACUUGAAAGGAUCGUCCGUGGGAGUAAUAAAAUCAAGUUUGUUAGUGAAAAACCUGAACUAGUUAUUUCCUACUUGCCUCCUGGAGUGGCUAAUAAAAUAAACACUGAAGCUUUGCAGUUUCUAAAAAGACCAUGAAGCCCUGAGAGUAAUGAAAAGGUUCCUGAAAUUGAGGUCACUGUGGAAGAGACAGGAUCUUGCUCUGUCACUCAGGCUGCAAUGCAGUGGUGUGAUCAUGGCUCGCUGUGGCUUCAAACUCCUGGGCUCAAGCAAUACUCCCGCCUCAGCCUCCCAAGUAGCUUGGACUACAGACGUACACCACCAUGCAAAGCUAAGUUUUUUAUUUUUUUUGUUGUAGAGAUGGGAUUGUGCUAUGCUGCCCAGGAUGAUCUCAAACUCCUGUCCUCAAGUGAUCCUCCUGUCUCAGCCUCCCAAAGUGCUGGGAUUAUAGGCAGCCAUGGGCCACCUGUGUCCAGCCUGCUAUUUUCUUUUUUUAAAAUAACAACUUUAUUGAAAUGUAGUUCACAUACCAUGCAAUUUAUUUAUCAAAGUACGCAAUUCAUUGGUUUUUAGAAUAUUCAUGGAGCUGUGAUCUAUCACCACAAUCCAUUUUAGAAGCUUUCAUUACCCUAUAGAGAAAUCCACUGUUCUUAGCCACUAGCUAAGAACGUGGCAGGGAGUAAGCCACUAGCUUACUCCCCCACAUGCUUCUGUGUUCCCAAUAGGCAACCACUGAUCUAUUUUCUGUCACUAUAGAUUUGCCUAAUCUGGACCUUCUAUAUAAAUAGGAUUGUGCAAUAUGUGAUCGUUUGUGGCUGGCUUUUUUUUCCGUCUUAGCACAGUGUUUUCAGAGUUCCUUCCUGUCAUAGCAUGUGUCAGUAUUUCGUUCCUUCUUUGGCUUAGUAAUAUUCCAUGGUAGAAACACACCAUAUUUUGUUUAUUCUUCAGUUGAUGAACAUUUGGAUUGUUUCCAUGUAUUGGCUAUUAUGAAUAAUGCUGCUAUGAAGAUUCAUGUACAAGUUUUUGUGUGGACAUACAUUUUUAUUUCUCUGGGAUAUAUACCUAGGAGAGAAAUUGUUGCAUUCUAUGAUACUGUACAUUUAGCCUUUUGAGAAACUGUUUUCCAAAGUGGUUACACCAGUCAGGUGCAGUGACUCACACUUGUAAUCCCAGCUACAUGAGAGGCUGAGGUGGGAGGAUCACUUGAGCCUACGAGUAAAGAAAGACCAGCUUGGGCAAGAUAGCAAGAUCCUGUCUCGGUUUUUGAAAAAUCAAAUUAAAAUGACAAGAAGACAGGUGCGGUGGCUCACGUCUGUAGUCCCAGCACUUUGAAAAGCCGAGGCGGGUGGAUAACUUGAGGUCAGGAGUUCAAAACCAGCCUGGCUGGGCAUGGUGGCAGAUACCUGUAAUCCCAGCUACUCGGGAGGUUGAGGCAAGGAGAAUUUUUUGAACCCAGGAAGUGGAGAUUGCAGUGAGUCAGGAUCACACCACUGCAUUCCAGCCAGGACAAAAGAGUGAGACUCUGUCACACAAAAAAAGUAAAAAUAUAAAUAAAUAAAAUGACAAGAAAAGAAACACCCAAACAAAGUAGUUAAACCAUUUUGUGUUCCCACCAGUAAUGUAUGUGGGUUCCAAUGUCUCCACAUUUUCACCAACAUUUCUUUUUUUGAGACAUGAUCUCUCUGUGUCACUUAGGCAGGAGUGCAGUGGUGUGAACAUGGCUCACUGCAGCCUCGAACCCCCAGACACUCGUGAUCCUUUUAUUUCAGCCUCUUGAGAAGUUGGGACUACAGUCAAAGUCCACCACACUCAGCUAAUUUCUUUUAUUUUUAGUAGAGACAGGGUUUCACUAUGUCUCCCAGGCUGGUUUCUAACUCCUGGACCCAAGUGAUCCACCUGCCUUGACCUCCCACACUGCUGGGAUUAUAGGUGGGAACCACCAUGCCCGGUCCUCUCUCUCUUUUCUCUCUUCCCUUUCUUUCUUGGUAGAGGGAAAUAUGUCAUGUACCAGCUAUCCAUCCACUGACUGCCCAUCAGUUCCAAAUUCACCCUUCACUGUCUGAUCUGCAAACAUAGAGGUGGGUUCCUUAAAUGCUUCCUCUGUCAGCUGGUACAUGAUUAAAUGUUGUCAGUACGUAGUACUAGAGGGACCUUGUAAGAGGCUUUUCUUUCUGGUUGUGGUGUGUGAAUCUCCACAGGCACUGAGCUUCUCCAGCACCGGGCUGCUGCCCUGCACGGUGCUCAGCAGCACCCAGUGACCAGCAGUUUCUCUGCACCUGCCUGGGUGGGUUUGUAGUGAGACAACUGUUCAUUAAUAGCUUAAUCUAGCACCCCAGAGGGUGAAUUUUCAGCAGAUUCCAGAGGGCAGAUUGCUAGCAUGUUCGACCAUGUGGUAAUACAGCAAUUCUGCUAUUGAAUUACCAGUGACUGCCCUCUCCAAGGGGGGGCUGGAUCUCAGCCCUAGUGGGAAGUCUUUUCCUUGAUCACGGUAUCUCAGCAUUGGGACAGUAGGGACAGUUACUGCUUGUUAUAUCAGCUGGUCCUAUACUCUUUUUUUUGGAGACAGGGUCUUCCUGUGUUGCCCAAGCUAAAGUGCAGUGGCGAAAUCAUGGUUCACUGCAGCCUUGACCGCCCAGGCUCGAGCAAUCCUCCCACCUCAGUCUCCUAAGUACCUAGGACUAUAGGACCUCACAAUGACUCAAGCUACCACUUUCUGUUGAUUAUGAUGAAAUGCCAGCUGAGGCACAUGCCGUGGGAGCUAAGUGGCUGCUGCGCUUGACCACUACGAAGACUGGUGUGGGAAGAUCCUUUUGGAUGCACUUGAGCAGGGGGCGCUAAUCCCUGCGUCACAGGCCUCUACUGGGCCAUACGGCAGGAGCCUCAGCCAAGAUGUCUCGCCCCACUCUCUAUGAUGCAACAAGAAGCCCCUGGAGAACGUUUCAGUCCCACUCUGUACUUCUGUCAUGUGCUCAUCACAGUCUGGUGGAAUUUAAAUGACCUCUUAUCAAGAUGGAUAAACCCAAGUUUCCCAGUGCUGGAAUAUAGAAAAUGGAUGGACAAGUAAGUCCUACUCAGCACCCAUAACCCAGACAUGGGGACCUCAACACACCAGACAUCACCUUUCAUUCUGGAUCUACCACGAAAGACUUCAGAGUCCAGGAAGAGAGACUGAUUGGGCAACAUGUUAUUCAGUUCCAAAAAGACUUGGACUAUGACUCAAAAAUGAUCAAAUAAUAGCACAUGCAUCAAAUACAAUAAGAAACACUUCUAGAGGGUAGGUGCCACAGUUAUCCCCAUUUUGUGAAUGAAGUGAUGAAGACUUCGGAAUGAUGAGUGAUUUGCCUAAGCUCACCUGGAUAUUAAGAGGUCUUGCUCUGUUGUCCAGGCUGGAGUGUGAUAGUGCUAUCACAGCUGACUGCAUCCUCGACCUCUCAGGCUCAAGCAGUCCUCCCACCUCAGCCUCCCAGGUGGCUGAGACUGUAUGUGCUUGCCACAAUGCCCAACUAAUAUUUGGACUUUUCCUAUACAUGGGUUCCAAAGGGCUGACUGCGAAACGACUUUGGACUUUUGAGUGGUUUAUGUCUCCUGAUUGGACCCUGACUAAUGCAGAGUUGAUGCUAGGAAGGGUCCCAGGAGACAGACCCACACAGAUGGGAUUUGGGCAUUGGUUUGGUUAUCCAAGGGGCCCUGCUGAGCUCCUUGCCAGUGGGACGUGGGAUGCUGUUGAUAUCCAGGAAGUGACCUCACAAUGACUCAAGCUACCACUUACUGUUGAUUGUGAUGAAAUGUCAGCUUUGACACAUGCCUUGGGAGCUAAGUGGCUGCUGCACUUGACCACUAUGAAGACUGGUGUGGGAAGGGUCCUUCUGGAUGUACUUGAGCAGGGUCCCCAAUGCCGGAGCCAUGACGACGGCCUCUCCCGGCCCAGCUGUGGCUUCAUGUCAGCCUCCCCAGGCCACGUUUCCGCUUGCCUUGCAGCAGCCUCGGCAAGCGCAGCUCCUCCCUGCCGAGAGCCUCUUAAAGAGGCUUAUCUCGUGCCUCGCCGCGGCCUCCCCAGGCCACGCUCCCGCCUUUCGGCAGCCUCCGCAGGCCCAGCUCCUGCGUCCCGAUGGCCUUUUUAGGCCCGGCUUGUUCUUCGUCGAGGCCUCUUGAGGCCUAGCUUUUUCAUUCUGGCGGCAUCUCCAGGCCCAGAACUUCCUCAAGUCGGCCUCCCCCGGCUCAGUUGCUGCCUCCCGGCCGCCUCACUGGGCCCAGCUCUUUCCUCACGGCUGUGCCUGCAGGCCCAGCUCCUGCCUCCGAACAGCCUCCUUUGACUCAGCUCCUGCCCAGCUCCCGGCGGCUUUAGGCCCAAAGCCUGCUCCAGUCCAGCUCUACAGGCCCACCUCUGCCCUCGCAGCGGCCUUCCCAGGCCCAGCUCUUGCCUCACGGCGGCCUUCCCCAGCCGCGUUCCUGCCAGCAUCCCAGCGGCCUCAACAAGCCCAGCGCCUGCCUCACACUGGGCUCUCGAGGCCCAGCUGAUGCCUCACGAUGGCCUCUCCAGGCCCAGCUCCCAUCUGCCUUGACGGCGUCUCCUGUCCCAAGGCUUUCUCAAGUGGGCCCUCCCCCCGCCGAUGGCCUGUGCGGGCCCAAAGCAUCCUGAAGUCGGCCUCGCCAGGCCCAGCUCCCGCCCGUCUCGAUGGCGUGUCCUGGCCCAAGGCUUUCUCAAGUGGGCCCCUCCGGGGCGUACCUCCUGCCCCCCCCCGCCGCUGAUGGUCUGUGCGGUCACAAAGCGUCCUGAAGUCGGCCUCGCCAGGCCAAGCUCCUGCCUGUCGUAGGUUCCUAGCGGCACGGCCUGUGCCUCCUCACAGUGGACCCCUGCCAGGCCCAGCUCUUGCUUCAGCAUGGCCGCCUCAGGCCAAGCUCGUGCCCUGCCUGUUGGCAGCCGCCACGGGCCCAGCUCUUGCCUUUCGCCAUCCUCUCCAGGCCCAGAACUGUUUCCAGCCGGCCUCUGCAGGCCCAGCUCUCCCUCCCGUCUGCGCCUGCUGAGCCAGCUCCUGCCUCACAACUGCCACGUUCGGCCCAGCUCCUGCCCAGCUCCUGGCAUCCUUUGUAGGCCCCAGGCUUCUCUAAGUCAGGCCUUCCAGUCCCCGCCUUCGGCUCCCCGGUGGCCUGGAGAGGCCCAGCUCCUGCCUGACAGCGACCUCUCCGUGGAUGCCGGUUAUGCCAGCUACUCGGGAGGCUGAGGCAGAAUUUCUUGAUCCCGGGAGGCGGAGUGUACAAAGUUAAUUUUUCCUCUUCAAAGUUUCCCUUCUUGUUAAAGAAUAAAUUAGAAGUGUUAGAAAUAA